rnacentral:rRNA from 1 species
UACGUAGGGCGCGAGCGUUGUCCGGAAUUAUUGGGCGUAAAGAGCUUGUAGGUGGCUCGUUGCGUCGGGAGUGAAAACCUGCGGCUUAACCGCAGGCCUGCUUCCGAUACGGGCGAGCUAGAGUUCGGCAGGGGAGACUGGAAUUCCUGGUGUAGCGGUGGAAUGCGCAGAUAUCAGGAGGAACACCGGUGGCGAAGGCGGGUCUCUGGGCCGAUACUGACACUGAGAAGCGAAAGCGUGGGGAGCGAACAGG